UACGUAGGGGGCAAGCGUUAUCCGGAUUUACAGGGUGUAAAGGGAGCGUAGACGGCCAGACAAGUCUGGAGUGAAAAUCCAGCGCUUAACGUUGGAAGUGCUUUGGAAACUGCCGGGCUAGAGUGCAGGAGGGGCAGGCGGAAUUCCUAGUGUAGCGGUGAAAUGCGUAGAUAUUAGGAGGAACACCAGUGGCGAAGGCGGCCUGCUGGACUGCAACUGACGUUGAGGCUCGAAGGCGUGGGGAGCAAACAGG
rnacentral:rRNA from 1 species